rnacentral:misc_RNA from 1 species
AAGGUAUUGAGCAGCUGAGCUGACGGAGAGACCGGCAGAGAGAUAUCUUAACACGGUAGUGGUGAUUUCCUAUGGAGACUGAACAUCAGUACGAGGUCGACCUCGGGCAUCUUAUGGCUUUUGACCAUCAUCACCAUUUCCCCCCUGUCCCUUCUUCCAGGGAGGACAUGGUGGAGGAAUGUGUUAGAAAGGGCACCGAGCUGGUUCAAGCUAUUGCUGUCAGUCUUUUCAACUU